GGGGGUGUGGUAUAGUGGCAUUACGUUCCUUUCGCAUCCGUGUGAUUAGGAAAGGUCCGGGGUUCAAUUCCCCGCUCCUCCA
rfam:Rhodotorula sp. JG-1b unplaced genomic scaffold RHOSPscaffold_61, whole genome shotgun sequence.